CUUAGUAGCGGCGAGUGAAGCGGCAAAAGCUCAAAUUUGAAAUCUGGCUCUUUCAGAGUCCGAGUUGUAAUUUGAAGAAGGUAUCUUUGGGUCUGGCUCUUGUCUAUGUUUCUUGGAACAGAACGUCACAGAGGGUGAGAAUCCCGUGCGAUGAGAUGAUCCAGGCCUAUGUAAAGUUCCUUCGAAGAGUCGAGUUGUUUGGGAAUGCAGCUCUAAGUGGGUGGUAAAUUCCAUCUAAAGCUAAAUAUUGGCGAGAGACCGAUAGCGAACAAGUACAGUGAUGGAAAGAUGAAAAGAACUUUGAAAAGAGAGUGAAAAAGUACGUGAAAUUGUUGAAAGGGAAGGGCUUGAGAUCAGACUUGGUAUUUUGUAUGUUACUUCUUCGGGGGUGGCCUCUACAGUUUAUCGGGCCAGCAUCAGUUUGGGCGGUAGGAGAAUUGCGUUGGAAUGUGGCACGGCUUCGGUUGUGUGUUAUAGCCUUCGUCGAUACUGCCAGCCUAGACUGAGGACUGCGGUUUAUACCUAGGAUGUUGGCAUAAUGAUCUUAAGUCGCCCGUCUU
rnacentral:rRNA from 1 species